UCAAUUGCCGUUAGAAAAAGCAUCACUCCCCUCCACCAUCGGUAUUCACUCCCUCAUUCUCCAUUCACCAUUUUCCCCAAAUUGAGAUCCCUAAUUUGAGCAACCCUUAAUUCCCGUCGCCCCCUCCGACUCACUCUACGCCGGCGACCACAACGCCCUCUCACUCCCUUCUACGUCCUCUCUACACUCCGGCUAAACAACACAGUCAAGUCACGAUUCGCCCUUCGUUCCACCACCGCCUUUGCUUUCGGUUCGCGAGGUCUCAUCACCACCACUCCGUCGCCGUCAGAACGGAGUUGCUGUGCUACUGUUUGGAAGCCGCUGCCGUGGAAUCACCGCAGCCGAACAUCAGCGCCGAAUCAGGCGCCUCAUUGUCCCAGCUUUGCCGCAAUUGUUUAUUUAAUCGAGGAAGCGGACAGACUCGCCGUCUGAUUUUGAUGCUGCCGAUUCUCGCCUAGCGGUGAGAGGCGCUCGAGAAUCCACCAAGCAGUCGCUGCCAUCGGGGUCUCACUUCGGUCGGUGUCAUUCUCCAGCCAUCUCGGCUGCAUUGUCACUAUCAAUUUCGUCGGACUUCCGUGGACUUCUCGGCUUAAUAGUUGUGUGGCAAUGGAGGCGUUCUUGUUCUAGUUCUGGCCAUCAUUAACUUAAAGUUAUCGGGGCUCAGACAAUAUUUCCUCAUACAUGGCUGCUAUCUCCUGCCUAAAAUCUAAAGCUUUAUCUAUUCUUUUGCACCUUUGUGAAGCUGAAAGUGUAUCCUACCUGGAUGAGGUGGCCAGCAACACAACAACUCGGGAUGUGGCAAAGUCUGGGACUCGAGGUUCUUCAAUUGCUGAAAAAUGUUUGGUAUAGAUUCAAGACAGUUAAAAGCUCCCUCCGAGGCAAGUUACUCGAAGGGUCAACUGGAACGUAAUACAAAGCGCUUGGCAGAUGUCGUCUCAGAUGCUUCAAAUUUUCGGUCAUUCAUCGUGAUAAACUUUGUUCACAGUUGAGUCAUUCUGAAUCUUUAGUUCUAGGAGUUUUGAAUGAAGAUGAUGUAUAACUGCUGAGGAGCUUGGGAAGGGGUGGACUGCAGGAGCAACUAGCUUCCUAUAUUGGACUCUCGGCCCUGAUGAGAAAAAAAGAGGAAUAAGCUUCAUAAAAAGGAAUUUUAAAGCCACAAAAGUAAGGUAGGAAGAUACACUGGUAGAGGUUUGUUUUCAGCAUUUUGGUAUGUGAGAAGGUACCAGGUUUCCCAGCAAGGCAGGAAAUCCGAGCUUUUAUUGUAGUCGUCAAAUCCUGGUCUUUGAGGAUUCUGAAAUCACGGGCCUUGGAAGCUGGUUGAGCACUCAAUUAGUGUCAAGUAAAGAUACUUUCUAUGAGGAUCAGUCAUUAAACAUCAACGUGUGACUCACCUUAUGCUGAGUAUUGCUUUACGAGCUGUUUUAGAUGCUUUGAGUAAGCCUGCAGAUCGGCAUUGGAGCAGUUUGUGGACAGUAUCAUUGAGUAUUACUUCUCCAGUUUAGUUUUGACCACCUCACUAUUUAUUACAACGAGUUGAAGGUGUGCCAUUUCAUACUAAAGCCAUCAAUGAAGAACUACUGCAAAAUCUUUCUGAUGCUCUACACUUAUCGGUACCGGAUAAAAUUGGAGUUGGUCUUGCUUUGUCUAAUUCUGAAGAACACGAUAUCUUUAUGAUACUAAGAAGUGUGGUUAGUUAUUCUCUUCUUUGUACAUACAUUUAGAUAUAUUGUUUUGUUUAGUUGUAGGAAGUGGAAUACAUACAUAAGUUUUUUCUCCUUGGAAUUCUUCCGCAUGUUUCACUAAACCUAUAACCCUUUUCUUGGCUGUAUGCAGGAAAGAAUUUCUGUUUGACACAAUUUAGAGAGCUGUGUGCCAAACCUACUGCGUUUGAGGCUACUGUGAUAAUUCAGCAUAUUCUCGUGUUACUCUUAGUCAAUUUGAAGUCUUUAAUUAUUUAGAUUCAUUCUUGCAAAUGUUAUCUCUUGUUCCACUACUAAGGUUUUUCUGUUAUAGUUCCUAAUGCAUAAAUAGACUAGAAUGUACUUGGUCGAUAUAAAGGUCGAGGGUGGUAGGGGGCGACUAACUUCUUAACUUAAGAGAAACGGCGGAAUAGGGUGGAAAACAAAAGGCACAAGUCUAUUUAUUGGUUUUUGAGCUUGCUUUGCUUGAUCUUCUGCUUCUUGGUUGUUGCGCCUACAAUUUUCUAUUUAUUCAAUUCAUUCUUUGCUGCCUUUUGCAGCUUUAUAAUUAACCUGUAACAUAUAUUAUAUUUUUGUGUGUUAUGACGUUUUUCUACUUUUUUCUAAUCCCCUGUUUGCUACCUUGCAGCUUUAUAAUUAAUACAUACAUAGUAUCCUAGUUUCUUUGUCUUAUAUGCCGUGUACAAAUAUGUCUUAUAUUAGUUAUUCUUUGAUAUAUAAACCCCAUUGAUUGUCAAAUCUUGGCAUCUUAAUAUAUCUGUUAAUUGUUUUUAUAGGCUCUUUCCCAAGUACUUACUAGACACAUUUCCUUUUUACUUCGGCAUUAGGUUUGCUGAACUUGCUUCUAAAAAAGAAAUCGUGGGCCUUGGAAGCUGGUUGAGCACUUAAAUAGUGUUGAGUAAAGAUACUUUCUAGAGGAUCAGUCAUUAAGCAUCAACUUGUGACUAACCUUAUGCUGGGUAUUGCUUUACGAGCUGUUUUCGAUGCUUUGAGGAAGCUUGCAAAUUCAAAAGUUUGUUCCUUCCUAGGCAUUGGAGCAGUUUGUGGGUCAUCUCAUUAAGAAUUAUUGAUCCAGUUCAGAUUUGAGCACCUCACUAUUUAUUCCAGCGAGUUGAAGGGUAUAAAGCUGCAACCAAUAAUUGCUUCACUAAUCAAAUAUUUAUUUAUUAAACCUAACUUUAGUUCGAUAUUAAGUGUGUCAUUUCAUACUAAAGCCAUCAAUGAAGAACUACUGCAAAAUCUUUCUGAUGCUCUACACUUGUCGGUACCUAAUAAAAUUUGGGUUGGACUUGCUUUGUUUAAUUAUGAGGAACACGAUAUCUUUAUGAUACUAAGAAGUGUGGUUAGUUAUUCUCUUCUUUGUACAUACAUUUAGAUAUAUUGUUUUGUUUAGUUGUAGGAAGUGGAAUACAUACAUAAGUUUUUUCUCCUUGGAAUUCUUCCGCAUGUUUCACUAAACCUAUAACCCUUUUCUUGGCUGUAUGCAGGAAAGAAUUUCUGUUUGACACAAUUUAGAGAGCUGUGUGCCAAACCUACUGCGUUAGAGGCUACUGUGAUAAUUCAGCAUAUUCUCGUGUUACUCUUAGUCAAUUUGAAGUCUUUAAUUAUUUAGAUUCAUUCUUGCAAAUGUUAUCUCUUGUUCCACUACUAAGGUUUUUCUGUUAUAGUUCCUAAUGCAUAAAUAGACUAGAAUGUACUUGGUCGAUAUAAAGGUCAAGGGUGGUAGGGGGCGACUAACUUCUUAACUUAAGAGAAACGGCGGAAUAGGGUGGAAAACAAAAGGCACAAGUCUAUUUAUUGGUUUUUGAGCUUGCUUUGCUUGAUCUUCUGCUUCUUGGUUGUUGCGCCUACAAUUUUCUAUUUAUUCAAUUCAUUCUUUGCUGCCUUUUGCAGCUUUAUAAUUAACCUGUAACAUAUAUUAUAUUUUUGUGUGUUAUGACGUUUUUCUACUUUUUUCUAAUCCCCUGUUUGCUACCUUGCAGCUUUAUAAUUAAUACAUACAUAGUAUCCUAGUUUCUUUGUCUUAUAUGCCGUGUACAAAUAUGUCUUAUAUUAGUUAUUCUUUGAUAUAUAAACCCCAUUGAUUGUCAAAUCUUGGCAUCUUAAUAUAUCUGUUAAUUGUUUUUAUAGGCUCUUUCCCAAGUACUUACUAGACACAUUUCCUUUUUACUUCGGCAUUAGGUUUGCUGAACUUGCUUCUAAAAAAGAAAUCGUGGGCCUUGGAAGCUGGUUGAGCACUCAAAUAGUGUCGAGUAAAGAUACUUUGUAGAGGAUCAGUCAUUAAGCAUCAACUUGUGACUAACCUUAUGCUGGGUAUUGCUUUACGAGCUGUUUUCGAUGCUUUGAGGAAGCUUGCAAAUUCAAAAGUUUGUUCCUUCCUAGGCAUUGGAGCAGUUUGUGGGUCAUCUCAUUAAGAAUUAUUGAUCCAGUUCAGAUUUGAGCACCUCACUAUUUAUUCCAGCGAGUUGAAGGGUAUAAAGCUGCAACCAAAAUUGCUUCACUAUUCAAAUAUUUAUUUAUUAAACCUAACUUUAGUUCGAUAUUAAGUGUGUCAUUUCAUACUAAAGCCAUCAAUGAAGAACUACUGCAAAAUCUUUCUGAUGCUCUACACUUGUCGGUACCUAAUAAAAUUUGGGUUGGACUUGCUUUGUUUAAUUAUGAGGAACACGAUAUCUGCACGAUACCAGGAUGUGUGGAAAGACUUUCUGUUUGAGUCAGAUUGCUGCGUUUGAGGCUACUGAGAUAAUUCAGCAUAUUCUUGUGUUAUUCUUGGGAAACUAGGGUGUUUUCCGUGAUAGUUCCUAGUUGUCUAUAAUGUUGUAAAAUACGCUUCAACCUAACUAUGUUACUUGUAAUGUUACCCCGUUCUAAAAUUUUCAACUUGCCUAUAAUGUUUAUCCUUUGUGAAUGCUUGUGCUUCAGGAUCAGUCAUUAAGCAUCAACUUGUGACUAACCUUAUUCUGGGUAUUGCUUUACGAGCGGUUUUCAAUGCUUUGAGGAAGCUUGCAUAUUCAAAAGUUUGUUCCUUCCUAGGCAUUGGAACAGUUUGUGGACCGUCUCAUUUAGUGGCCACUGUACUGCCAUCAUAUCCUGCACUUUGUAACAUUUAUAGGGAGGGCACUUAACAGUAUUUCAGCGGCUUAUACUGAACUGAUGUUAGCCAUAGUGCCAAUACUGAUCACCGACACAGUCAUAUUCAAUCUUCAUCUCCACAUAUAGAGACUGCAGGCCCACCAUUUUCUCUGAUCGGACCCGGCAGCAUAUUGUCUGGAUUAGCAAUUCCCUCUUCGAUCCCACUACAACAGAGACCACCAAGUUCUCUAGAUGAGAGUUCACUCCUAAUUACAUGAAGCCAUCACAACACACCUACCCUUCCUAAG